GUAGGGAAUAUUGCGCAAUGGGGGAAACCCUGACGCAGCGACGCCGCGUGAGUGAUGAAGGCCUUCGGGUCGUAAAGCUCUGUUGCAGGGGAAUAAAAAAAUGAAGGUACCCUGUGAGGAAGGAUCGGCUAACUUCGUGCCAGCAGCCGCGGUAAGACGAGGGAUCCUAGCGUUGCCCGGAAUCAUUGGGCGUAAAGAGGGCGUAGGUGGCUUGGUAAGUCAGGUGUGAAAGCCCAGGGCUCAACCCUGGAAGUGCAUUUGAUACUGCUGAGCUUGAGUGUCGGAGAGGUUACCGGAAUACCUGGUGUAGUGGUGAAAUACGUAGAUAUCAGGUGGAACACCGGAGGCGAAGGCGGGUAACUGGACGAACACUGACACUGAGGCCCGAAAGCGUGGGGAUCAAACAGGAUUAGAAACCCGGGUAGUCC
rnacentral:rRNA from 1 species